CACCGCGGUUAUACAAGAGACUCAAGUUGAUAGUGCCCGGCGUAAAGGGUGGUUAAGAAAAUAAUAAACUAAAGCCAAAUGCCCGCAAGACUGUUAUACGUACACGAGGGUAAGAAGUCCAAUCACGAAAGUAGCUUUAUCGCCUCUGACCCCACGAAAGCUGUGAAA
rnacentral:rRNA from 1 species